UCGGCUACUUCGUCUUUGCGAAUGCGUUCCUCUCUCGCGAACGUAGAGCAUCUGCUUCCAACACUAUGUGAAUGCGGCUGCCUGCUCGCGAACAUGAUGCACCUAAACCCAAGGACCAAAAUUACUUGAUACGAACGCGGUCCACUGACUGCGAACGCGAAACACAUUAGUACACCAGAACAUUUGUCACACCUUUUUUUUCACCUACACCCCGCAAGGGGCGAAAAGGGGGGUUUUCAAUUAAAGGACAAUCGGAACGGGAUUUAAUUAUUAAUUAUUAAUAGUCACCACUUGAAAAAUUAAUGGUGUCCCAAGUCAUCGGUUAAAUCCCGAACCGAGAAAAAUAUGACUCAGUUAAUAGUCUGCGAACUAGAAAUCUGGAUAAGGAAUCAUGUUAACCCGAAAGAAGGUGUUAGGCAUUUUCGGGUUAUGUGAUUCUAGCACGUUCGCUCAGCUGUUGCAUUUAGCUUAUUAUCUGAUUUUAACACAUGAAGAGCCUCCUAUGUGCCAAUUUUGCUUUUUAACAGCUUUUAUUCAGUAUGUUUUUAUUUAAACCGCAAUCCUAAGCAUACUCUAUUCAACGUUUUGGGAUUUGAUUUGGAUUGCAUGAAAUGCACACCCGUAUUUAGGAAGGUAAAAUUAUCAAAUAACGUGCCUAAAGCAACUAUGCAUUUUACCUUUGCGGGGACCAUAAAAGUUUGCUAAAUAACACUCCUCGAAUUCUAAAGAUUUAAAAGAAAUAAUUAAGUGAAGGUAACGUAUUUUCGUUUAUGGUACUGAAAUGGAAAGUGUACCUUUUCUUUUGGAUCUACUCCAAAAGUCACGAAGCAGAAGAAUACAUUCAACUCCCUCAGCCCAAUCAAAUUAAAGCAACUUGGUGCUACUUAUUCAAUUACCUAAUUUACUACCCAAGCAAUAUAAGAAAUUAUAAAUAACUUCAUGAACCAUCAACUGAAAGUAAUAACUAUUCUAAUAAUCGAUGGCUUUCUUUGUUAACUAGACUUAUUUUUGAAAAGCAAAUACUAAUAACACUUAUUGCGACGAAUACAGAGGUCAUGGAACAAACCUUUAGAUUUCCAAAUAUCUAAUUCUUUUGAGUGAUUAGUUGGAUUAUCAAAUAAGUAUUCCCAGAACAUAAUUGCAUCAGAAUAUUCGUAACAAUGGAAACUUAUUGCAGAAAAAGAUCCAAAAACAUAUCCAUUCAUGCCAACCUCGAAAUGGAUUACCUGAAAGGGCAAAAGCAGAGCAGCGUCGCCUGCGCAAUCACUCCAGCUUUGACCAAACGUGACAACCAACCUCUUCUGCUUAUAUCUGAUCGAUUUACCCUCAGUAUAGCAUGGAAAUCAACUAUAGCACUGCUUUGAGCUCAAAAUGUAAUAAAUCGCAUACGGAAACUCGAUUAGGCACCGGAAAACUCGCACCAAAACGACAUCGAUCAAAGCAUCUCUAGUGAGAUUACAGCAACUAAACGGCAGCGAUGAACUCAAACAGAGGGAAAAAAUAAACUUAAGACCAAGCUGGACCGAAGAAAUUUGAAGGAAACCUCUUUCAAUAUUAAUAAAAUUUCAACCCAAGCUUUGUACAAUAGCCAUAACCAUGGAGAUACGAAAAACUGAAAUCAAAUAACAAGCUCGGAACCAAAUUCGCAAACUGAACCUUGACCAGGAAAACUUUUAACUCGGACGGACUUUCGGCGCCGAAACUUCGACUGUGUUUUAAUGGUGGUGAAAGUCGGCUGUUGGGUGUGAAGCUGGUUGCUUGUGAAGAACGGCCGAGGGGCGUUCAAGUUCUUUUGAAAAAAUGAUUGUUGCUGCUAGUUUUAUUGUUUUUUUUUUUUAGAGAAAGAUACUGAGAGAGGUUGUUUUCAUGGAGAUUUAUGGUGGCUUUGGAGAAGACCGCCGUCUCUGUUUUUUCCGCUCCCCCUUUCUAUUGCGUUUUUUUUGUCCGUCCCCCCUCUUACAUUGUGUACAAGAUGGUUUUAUAGAGUGUGUGAGGUAGGGUUUUACGCGA
rnacentral:lncRNA from 1 species